AUUUAUGACUUGUUAAUGUUUACAGAUAAGAAUAAAUUAUAGUGUCAGACUUGAAAGAAAAGAAAAAAGUAGACAAGAAGGCUCUCUGAAGUCCUUUUGAAAGAAAAUUUACUUAUUAUCCAUGUAAAGCUUUGCAUUAUUAAUGUUAGUUUGGGAAUCUGCAUUACCAAGAAGAACGAUUGUCAACUUUAUUAUUUUUUUAAUAUUUUAUAAAUUUAAUAGUAAUUCAUACUCAUAAUCAGUGAUGUGCUGGAUCUUUGAAAGUGUAUAUCCGUGGAUAGGGAUUCGAAUACGGAUAUUUGGUGUCAAGAUCCACAGAUACUGAUACGGAUCUUUAUUUUGCAUUGCGUGGGUAUUAGUUUAAGGUUUAGGCCGUUUAGAUAACGUUUAUUGUUUUGGUACAAGAGUUAAAAUAAUGACUACUUACAAGUUUUCUAGUGUAAUUUGAAAUUGUAAAAUUGUAUAAAGUGUAAAAUUUGUGACAAAAAAAAGUAUUCCUGUAAGGGCAAAGACGUGACAUCUUUAAAUAAUCAUUUACAGAGAAAAGAUCCUAAAAAUGUGAUUUAUUCUUGAAAGAAGACUCCGCUAAGAAGAGUACCGAAACCAGACAAAGCAGAAGCACGCAGUGACGAACGAUUUCCGUUCGGUCAUCUAUUACCCAGCGGGUCAGAAUAAUUUUAACGACACUCGACCACGCCCCUUGUUCAUCAUAAUCAUAGUUAUCAUCACUACUUACAGUUAGUGUACAUAUGUGUACUGAUAGUGUACUUAUCUAGUGUAGUGUAUGUGUUAGGCCGUCUUCGUUACACACGAAGGCAUUUGUCGCGGCUUAACGAGCCCUCCGAAACAAGAAACAAGUGACAAUGAUUUUACACGAUCUAAACAUAGAAUAGUUCAAAAGAUCUCUGAAUCUCAGUCAAGCAUUAUCCAACUGUCAUCGCAUUAUUAUCGCUAAAAGUCGAGAAGACCUAAUCCCCAACAUUUGGCAGGACUAAUGAGAGAAAGUAAAUAAUUUGUAGGGAGAUCAAGAAAAACGCGUACGGGAAAGAGCCCCAAGCAAGUACCGACGUGUUCUCCCAAGAUUCGGCCCUCGCGACCGACAGGUUGCUACGGCCAUGGGUUGGUGGUGGGACUUAUUAAUAGUGUUCGAUUGAAAAUACAUUUAAUAGUGUAUUAGUGCAUCGUUUAAACCAAUCAGUUAAUGUAUAAUUUUAUUUUCUUGAUUAUUUAUAUUGGUUUCUCUUUGCCGAGGUAUACUUUGAGGUAAACGUUUUACUAAUAUUAUAUUUUAUACUCUAUUGUGUAUUUCUUCAAUAUAGCAUUGAAGGUGUCGGUUUCGAGUUCAAAAAUGAAGUUUUAAGUCAUCAAGAAUGGAUAUAAUGUUGAUGAUAAUAACUAAGAACAAUAAUUUUAUUAAAAUGUGGCAACAAGUAUUAAAAAUUUUAAAUCUUCGACAAAUCUUAAAAUGGAACUACACCUCAAGAACUGUAUCAAGUUUCUACUACGUCUUGAAAUUUAAUGUCAUAUCGACGAUUAUUACUUGAAUUGUAAUGAAAAACUAAAUAAUGGAGACUGGUUCAGAAUAUAAUGACAGUAUUUAAUAAAUAGUAUUCGGAAGAAUUUAUACCAAAAGUCAGUUCGUAAAUCAGUAGAAACGUCAGUUCCAGAACUACUCAUAAUGUUCAGAUCUACAAAAAGUUCUUUUCAGAACUAUGAACAGUUCUUUUCAGAACUAUGUCUUGUUUCUAAAUAUAGUUCUAUUUAGAACUAUUGUUUCUUGUUUCUAAGAUAAGUCUAGAGGAUAGUCUACAUCUGUGUGACAUGGAUUACUAAAGAAAGAGUAAUAUUUUUCGGCCGUACAUAUACUCGAUCUUUGAUAUGUAACGUCUUUAUUAAGCGUAUUCUUUUUUUAUUUUAUGUAUUUAAAGAUUUCUCUCUAGAGAAACGUACAUUUAAAAGUGUGUUUAUAUAUGUGUAUUAAUUUACUUACAUAUUGUUUAGAAAUUUGAGUUUACUAAAUUUUAAAUGUUUCUAUUUGUUUAUACUUUGGGUGUUGAUUAUUGAGUGUCUCUAUUCUUCAAUUUUGAAAGUGUCAAAUUUGGGUUCAGGAAAAGUGCAUAUUUGAAAUUUUAAAAUAACAUUAUUCAUGAUGCUGAACCAAGUGACAGUUUUAUCAAAAUGUGUCUAUAACCACUGGAGAAGUCAAUACCAGCGUACAUUACUUAUACGAAAUACAAAUUUGUGAUGGAACUACACUUCAAGGUAUGUUUGACUAUUAAACUGUUUGUUUUUAGUAUUACUGAAUUUCAAAACCAAUUCUUAUUACUAUUUUGUGUUUUUUAAUAAAAUAAUUUACUACUUAAUAUGAUGAAUGUUUACAGAUAAGGAUCGGAUAUAGUGUGAGACGUGAAAGAAAAAAGACCAGAAGACCCUCUGAAGCCCUUUCAAAAGAGUUUUCUAUCAACUAAGCGCAGCUUUACAUUAUUGAUGCUAGUCCGGGAAUCACAAUCACCAGGAAGAGAACCAUUUUCAAGUUUUUUCUUUUUAUUAUUCUCUUUUAAUGAUUCGUAUUUUAUAAAUUGAGUAAUCAUUCAUACUCAUAAUUAGUGAUGUGUCGGAUCGUUAAAAGUGUAUAUCCGUAGAUACGGAUUCAAAUACGAAUAUUUGGUGUCAUGAUCCGUGGAUACAGAUACGUAUCUUUAUUUUGCAUUGCACGGGUAUUACUUUUGUUUAAGGUUUAGGCCGUGUAGAUAACAUUUAUGGCUUUGGUACAAGAGUUAAAAUAAUGUCUACUAAGAAGUUCUCUAGUGUAAUUUGAAAUUGUAAAAAUCUAAAAUUUGUGACGGAAAGUAUUCUCCUAAGGAGAGUACCGAAUUCAGACAUAACAGAAACACACAGUGAUGCACGGGUUCCGUUGGGUCAUCUAUUACUCAGCGGGUCAAAGUAAUUGUAGCCGCUCUCAGGCACGGUCGUCGUUCAUCAUAAUCUAGUGUAUGUGUACUGUUAAUGUACUUGUGUAGUGUAGUGUAUGUGUUAGACCAUCUUCGUUAGAGACUAAGGCAUUUGUCGCGGCUUUACGACCCCUUCGAAGCAAGAAACAAGUGACAAUGAUUUUACUCGAUCCAAACAUGAAUGAGAAAGUAAAUAUUUGUAGGGAGAUCAAGUGAAACGCGCUCGGGAAAGAGCCCCAAGCAAGUACCGACGCGUUCUCCCAAGAUACGGCCCUCGCGACCGACAGGUUGCUACGGCCAUGGGUUGGUGGUGGGACUUAUUAAUAGUGUUAGAUUGAAAAUACAUUUAAUAGUGUACUAGUGCAUCGUUUAAACCAAUCAGUUAAUGUAUAAUUUUAUUUUCUUGAUUAUAUUGAUUUCUCUUUACCGAGAUACACUUUGAGGUAAACGUGUUACUAAUAUUGUACUAUAUUGUGUAUUUCUUUUCUUCAAUUAUAGCAUUGAAGGUGUUGAAUUUGUGUUCGGAAAUUAAGUUUUAAGUCGUCAAGAAUGGAUAUAAUGAUUAUGAUAAUAACUAAGAACAAUAAUUUUAUUAAAAUGUGGCAACAAAUAUUAAAAAGUUUAAAUAUUCGACAAAUCUAAAAAUGGAACUACACCUCAAGGUAAGUGUCUUUCGUAGUAUUUAAAUACUAAUGAAUAUUUAUUUUCAGAACUUAUUUCUCGUUUCAUUAAACAGUUCUUUUCAGAACUGUAUCAAGUUUCUACUGCGUCUUGAAACUUAAUAUCAUAUCGACGAUUAGUACUUAAAUUGUAAUGAAAAAAGUAAAUAAUGGAGACUGGUUCAGAGUACAAUUACGACAUUAUAAUAAGUAGUACUCGGAAAAAUUAAUAUGAAGAAUAAUGCAAAUGAUAUGGAGUCAGUUCCAGAACUAUUCACAAUAAAACAGUUCUUUUCAGAACUGUCUUGUUUCUAAAUAUAGUUCUAUUUAGAACUAUUGUUUUUUGUUUCUUGGAUAAGUCUAGAAGAUAGUCUACAUGUGUGUGACACGGAUUACUAAAGAAAGAGUAAUAUUUUUCGGCCG
rnacentral:lncRNA from 1 species